GAUGAACGCUAGCUACAGGCUUAACACAUGCAAGUCGAGGGGAAACGACAUCGAAAGCUUGCUUUUGAUGGGCGUCGACCGGCGCACGGGUGAGUAACGCGUAUCCAACCUGCCCAUCACUUGGGGAUAACCUUGCGAAAGUAAGACUAAUACCCAAUGAUAUCUCUAGAAGACAUCUGAAAGAGAUUAAAGAUUUAUCGGUGAUGGAUGGGGAUGCGUCUGAUUAGCUUGUUGGCGGGGUAACGGCCCACCAAGGCAACGAUCAGUAGGGGUUCUGAGAGGAAGGUCCCCCACAUUGGAACUGAGACACGGUCCAAACUCCUACGGGAGGCAGCAGUGAGGAAUAUGGGUCAAUGGGCGAGAGCCUGAACCAGCCAAGUAGCGUGCAGGAAGACGGCCCUAUGGGUUGUAAACUGCUUUUAUAAGGGAAUAAAGUGAGAGUCGUGACUCUUUUUGUAUGUACCUUAUGAAUAAGGACCGGCUAAUUCCGUG
rnacentral:rRNA from 1 species